GCAAGAGUGGUGUAGUGGUUCCAGCACUAGACUACAACUCUGGAGACCAGGGUUCAAAUCCUGGCUCAGCCA